rnacentral:tRNA from 1 species
CAACAUAUAGUUUAAUAAAAAUUUAAUUUUUGGGUAAUUAGGAUAUAUAUAUAUUUUGUUGA